rnacentral:lncRNA from 1 species
GUACAAAGGAAUGCCCCAAGUAAACAUGGUAAUAAACAACAUAUGGGGUACAUGGGACUCCUUCAAGAGAAUAUAAUGGGAUACUUGUGGGUUACACAGGACUUUCCCAAGUUAACUUGGUAAAUGGGUACAUAGGAAUUGCUUUACCUAAAAAGUUUUGGCUAAGCAUAAUACUUGCAAGUUUUAGUAGGUAUGACGAUACCACUAUUAAUAGCAUUGGUUAAAUAAUAAACUGAAUAAUGGAUUGGUUGGUUAGAAAUAGUUUUAAUAAGG